UCCGCCAGGGUACUACGAGUUAAACUUAAAACCCAAAGGACUUGACGGUGCCUUAGACCCACCUAGAGGAGCCUGUUCUAGAACCGAUAAUCCCCGUUAAACCUCACCAUUUUUAGCCACACCAGCCUAUAUACCACCGUCGUCAGCUUACCCUGUGAAGGGCAAAAAGUAAGCAAGAUGGGCACAGCCCAAAACGCCAGGUCGAGGUGUAGCCCACGAAAUGGGAAGAAAUGGGCUACAUUUUCUAAACCAGAAUAUUACGGAUACGCAACAUGAAACAGUUCCAAGAAGGAGGAUUUAGUAGUAAAAAGGAA
rnacentral:rRNA from 1 species